ensembl:snoRNA
AUUCUUCUGUGUUUCAGAAACACAAUAAUUGAGUUUUCACACUCACCUGUGAGAUGUACCUCCCUCAAACUUUGUUAAGACGUCAGCACAUUACCCAUCUGACA